GUCACCGAAGACCAAGAAUACUCUGCAGGCCCAAAUAUUUCAUUUGUAAUAGGCUAUAGGGCUGUGGUAUGAUACCAUAAUUUAACACUGAUUUGUUUGAUUGUUAAAUUAUCACUGGGUUCCAGAGAAGUACAUUCCAUUUUUUAACUAGCAAGAAGAAACAAAUGUGAAAAAGAUUAACUUAGAGAGAAGAAUAUAUCCACCCAUCUGUGAGGUGACAGUAUCUCAGAAUCCUCUGGGCAGAAGACAGUCCUGGGGGCUGCUGUUGCCUGGGGUAAGAACAAGAACACCAAAGAAAGGUAGAUCCAGAGGCAAAGGCAAGGACAAAAGGCAAGAGGCAAGUGCUGUGCUUGUGGGGCUGAAAUGACGAAGGACAGUGGAAUAGAAUGAAGACAGAUGAUCCAGCAUGGCCAGCUUGGCCUCCUCUACUUACAUCGUAUUCAAAUAAGAAAAAUGAAGUGACAGAACUUAAGUAAUUUCACCAGUUUUACUACAUAUUCAUCUUUUUACUACUUCUGGGAAUACUCAUCAGGUGUGGCAGCCUUCUAAGUUCAGAGAUAUUUCCAGUUUCCCCUCUUUCCUCUAAUACCAAAUAGGAAAUGUGACCAGAUAAGACUCCAGACUGGGCACAGAGAAAAGGUAUCAAUAUUCAAGUCUUUUGGGGGGCUGGGAAGAAAAGGGCAGAGGGAAAGGGAGAGAGAGAAUCUCAA